UUGAAAUCUGGCCUCUUUGGGGUCCGAGUUGUAAUUUGCAGAGGGUGCUUUUGGUGUUGGCCGUGGUCUAAGUUCCUUGGAACAGGACGUCACAGAGGGUGAGAAUCCCGUACGUGGCCGCCGGCCCUCGCCUUGUAAAGCCCCUUCGACGAGUCGAGUUGUUUGGGAAUGCAGCUCUAAAUGGGAGGUAAAUUUCUUCUAAAGCUAAAUACCCGCCAGAGACCGAUAGCGCACAAGUAGAGUGAUCGAAAGAUGAAAAGCACUUUGGAAAGAGAGUGAAAAAGCACGUGAAAUUGUUGAAAGGGAAGCGCUUGCGGCCCAGACGUGCCUGCGGUUGAUCAACUGGGCUCCCGCCCGGUGCACUCCUCCGCGGGCAGGCCAGCAUCAGUUUGGGCGGUCGGACAAAGGUCUCUGUCACGUACCAUCCCUCGGGAUGGCCUUUAUAGGGGAGACGCAACACGGCCAGCCUGGACUGAGGUUCCGCGCAUCUGCUAGGAUGCUGGCGUAAUGGCAGCAAGCGGCCCGUCUUGAAACACGGACCAAGGAGUCUAACAUCUAUGCGAGUGUUUGGGUGUCAAGCCCGAGCGCGUAAUGAAAGUGAACGGAGGUGGGAACCCCUCGGGGCGCACCAUCGACCGAUCCUGAUGUCUUCGGAUGGAUUUGAGUAAGAGCAUAGCUGUUGGGACCCGAAAGAUGGUGAACUAUGCCUGAAUAGGGUGAAGCCAGAGGAAACUCUGGUGGAGGCUCGCAGCGGUUCUGACGUGCAAAUCGAUCGUCAAAUUUGGGGCAUAGGGGCGAAAGACUAAUCGAACCAUCUAGUAGCUGGUUCCUGCCGAAAGUUUCCCUCAGGAUAGCAGUAACGUUUUUCAGUUUUAUGAGGUAAAAGCAGAAUGAUUUAGAGGCCUGGGGGUUGAAACAACCUUCACCUAUUCUCAAACUUUAAAUAUGUAAGAAGUCCUUGUUACUU
rnacentral:rRNA from 1 species